rnacentral:rRNA from 1 species
AUACGGAGGGGGCUAGCGUUGUUCGGAAUUACUGGGCGUAAAGGGCGUGUAGGCGGAUCGAUCAGUCAGGCGUGAAAGCCCCGGGCUCAACCCGGGAAAUGCGUUUGAAACUGUCGAUCUUGAGUUCGGGAGAGGGUAGUGGAAUUCCCAGUGUAGAGGUGAAAUUCGUAGAUAUUGGGAAGAACACCAGUGGCGAAGGCGGCUACCUGGACCGAUACUGACGCUGAGGCGCGAAAGCGUGGGGAGCAAACAGGAUUAGAUACCCCAGUAGUCC